UGGGGGAAUCUUGGACAAUGGGAGACCAACCUGAUCCAGCCAUGCCGCGUGAGUGAUGAAGGCCUUAGGGUCGUAAAGCUCUUUCGCCUGUGAAGAUAAUGACGGUAGCAGGUAAAGAAACCCCGGCUAACUCCGUGCCAGCAGCCGCGGUAAUACGGAGGGGGGUUAGCGUUGUUCGGAAUUACUGGGCGUAAAGCGCACGUAGGCGGACCAGAAAGUUGGGGGGUGAAAUCCCGGGGGCUCAACCGGGGGAACUGCCUUUGAAAACUGUCUGGCUAGAGUUCGGGAGAGGGUAGGGGGAAUUCCUAGUGUAGCGGUGAAAUGCGUAGAUAUUAGGAGGAACACCAGUGGCGAAGGCGGCUACCUGGACCGGUUCUGACGCUGAGGCGCGAAAGCGUGGGGAGCAAACAGGAUUAGAUACCCUGGUAGUCCACACCGUAAAACGAUGAAUGCCAGUCGUCGGGUAGCAUGCUAUUCGGUGACACACCUAACGGAUUAAGCAUUCCGCCUGGGGAGUACGGUCGC
rnacentral:rRNA from 1 species